CUUAACCGUUUUUUUUUCUUCCUAUGCAGUCGUCGCUUCUUUUUCCCCGGAGUUUGCUCCAUCGGAAAAGAAGAGUGGGAUGUAUGAGUAACAUGUGGGUAAGCAGCCAUCAGAAGGGCUAUCUCUUGCAAACUGGUGCUAAUACCUUAUAACAAUCGAAACCGCAUGGCUUUGAUUUGAAAGGCGCUUUCGCGUGUCGCUGAUGGAUGGACCCGCGGUGACUUAUCUAGUUGGAGAGGAAACGGAUCCCCAAGGCCACGAUGCUCAGCCGACCUGAAAGGGUGAUCGGCCACAUAGUCACUGAGACGCGAUCCAAACUCCUUCUUGAGGCAGCAGUAGGAAAUCUUCGGCACUG
rnacentral:rRNA from 1 species